UACGUAGGGUGCAAGCGUUGUCCGGAAUUAUUGGGCGUAAAGAGCUCGUAGGCGGUCUGUCACGUCGGGUGUGAAAACUCGGGGCUCAACCCCGAGCCUGCAUACGAUACGGGCAGACUUGAGUUCGGCAGGGGAGACUGGAAUUCCUGGUGUAGCGGUGAAAUGCGCAGAUAUCAGGAGGAACACCGGUGGCGAAGGCGGGUCUCUGGGCCGAUACUGACGCUGAGGAGCGAAAGCGUGGGGAGCGAACAGG
rnacentral:rRNA from 1 species